AGUGGCGGACGGGUGAGUAACACGUAGGUNNCCUGCCCAGAAGCGGGGGACAACAUUUGGAAACAGAUGCUAAUACCGCAUAACAGCGUUGUUCGCAUGAACAACGCUUAAAAGAUGGCUUCUCGCUAUCACUUCUGGAUGGACCUGCGGUGCAUUAGCUUGUUGGUGGGGUAACGGCCUACCAAGGCGAUGAUGCAUAGCCGAGUUGAGAGACUGAUCGGCCACAAUGGGACUGAGACACGGCCCAUACUCCUACGGGAGGCAGCAGUAGGGAAUCUUCCACAAUGGGCGCAAGCCUGAUGGAGCAACACCGCGUGAGUGAAGAAGGGUUUCGGCUCGUAAAGCUCUGUUGUUAAAGAAGAACACGUAUGAGAGUAACUGUUCAUACGUUGACGGUAUUUAACCAGAAAGUCACGGCUAACUACGUGCCAGCAGCCGCGGUAAUACGUAGGUGGCAAGCGUUAUCCGGAUUUAUUGGGCGUAAAGAGAGUGCAGGCGGUUUUCUAAGUCUGAUGUGAAAGCCUUCGGCUUAACCGGAGAAGUGCAUCGGAAACUGGAUAACUUGAGUGCAGAAGAGGGUAGUGGAACUCCAUGUGUAGCGGUGGAAUGCGUAGAUAUAUGGAAGAACACCAGUGGCGAAGGCGGCUACCUGGUCUGCAACUGACGCUGAGACUCGAAAGCAUGGGUAGCGAACAGGAUUAGAUACCCUGGUAGUCCAUGCCGUAAACGAUGAGUGCUAGGUGUUGGAGGGUUUCCGCCCUUCAGUGCCGGAGCUAACGCAUUAAGCACUCCGCCUGGGGAGUACGACCGCAAGGUUGAAACUCAAAGGAAUUGACGGGGGCCCGCACAAGCGGUGGAGCAUGUGGUUUAAUUCGAAGCUACGCGAAGAACCUUACCAGGUCUUGACAUCUUGCGCCAACCCUAGAGAUAGGGCGUUUCCUUCGGGAACGCAAUGACAGGUGGUGCAUGGUCGUCGUCAGCUCGUGUCGUGAGAUGUUGGGUUAAGUCCCGCAACGAGCGCAACCCUUGUUACUAGUUGCCAGCAUUAAGUUGGGCACUCUAGUGAGACUGCCGGUGACAAACCGGAGGAAGGUGGGGACGACGUCAGAUCAUCAUGCCCCUUAUGACCUGGGCUACACACGUGCUACAAUGGACGGUACAACGAGUCGCGAACUCGCGAGGGCAAGCAAAUCUCUUAAAACCGUUCUCAGUUCGGACUGCAGGCUGCAACUCGCCUGCACGAAGUCGGAAUCGCUAGUAAUCGCGGAUCAGCAUGCCG
rnacentral:rRNA from 1 species